CGGGUGAGUAACACGUAUCCAACCUGCCAUCUACUCUUGGACAGCCUUCUGAAAGGAAGAUUAAUACAAGAUGGCAUCAUGAGUCCACAUGUUCACAUGAUUAAAGGUAUUCCGGUAGACGAUGGGGAUGCGUUCCAUUAGAUAGUAGGCGGGGUAACGGCCCACCUAGUCUUCGAUGGAUAGGGGUUCUGAGAGGAAGGUCCCCCACAUUGGAACUGAGACACGGUCCAA
rnacentral:rRNA from 1 species